rnacentral:rRNA from 1 species
UAGUCAUAUGCUGGUCUCAAAGAUCAUGCCAUGCAUGUCUAAGUAUAACUUUUUUACUGGGAAACUGGGAAGGGGUCAUUAAUUCAGUUAUAGUUUAUUUGAUGGUCCCUUACUACCCGGAAAACCGUAAUAAUUCUAAAGCUAAAACGUGGGAAAAUCUCCCCUCCGGACGAGACGGGUUUAUUUUAUUAAAAACCAACCCUUCGGGCCCGGGGGGGAUUCAGAAGAUCUGGAAAAACCCUGGGGGUUGGCCGCGCCGAUGUUGCAUUCGAAUUUUUGCCCUUUCUCCCUUCUAUGGUUGGAUGGGGAAGUACUUGGCCAGCAAGGGGUGACGGAGAAUAAGGAUACUAUUCGGGAGAGGCAGCAGAAGAAACGGGAACCACGUCCACGGAAGGCAGGGGGGGCGCAAGUUACCCAAUCUUGCCACUCGGGGGAAGGGACGGUAAAGAAAAUAACCGGCAGUUUUGGCCCUUGGUAGUUGGAGUGAUAGCAAUCAAAAUCCUUUAUCUCGC